GCGUCGAGUGGCGGACGGGUGCGUAACGCGUGGAUAUCUGCCUUGGAGUUGGGGAUAAGCAUUGGAAACAGUGUCUAAUACCGAAUACGGUCUACGGACUAAAGUGUGCCUCUGCUUGCAAGCACACGCUUUAAGAUGAGUCUGCGUUGGAUUAGCUAGUUGGUAGGGUAAAGGCCUACCAAGGCAACGAUCCAUAGCUGGUUUGAGAGGAUGAUCAGCCACACUGGGACUGAGACACGGCCCAGACUCCUACGGGAGGCAGCAGUGGGGAAUAUUGGACAAUGGGCGCAAGCCUGAUCCAGCAAUGCCGCGUGUGUGAAGAAGGCCUGAGGGUUGUAAAGCACUUUCAAUAGGGACGAAGGCUAUUGUGUUAAUAGCACAGUAGAUUGACAUUAACUAUACAAGAAGCACCGGCUAACUCUGUGCCAGCAGCCGCGGUAAUACAGAGGGUGCAAGCGUUAAUCGGAAUUACUGGGCGUAAAGCGCGCGUAGGCGGUUAUUUAAGUUGAAUGUGAAAGCCCCGGGCUCAACCUGGGACGGCCAUUCAAAACUGCAUAACUAGAAUGUAAUAGAGGACAGUGGAAUUCCUAGUGUAGCGGUGAAAUGCGUAGAUAUUAGGAGGAACAUCAGUGGCGAAGGCGACUGUCUGGGUUAACAUUGACGCUGAGGUGCGAAAGCGUGGGUAGCGAACGGGAUUAUAUACCCCGGUAGUCCACGCCGUAAACGAUGAGAACUAGAUGUUGGUUUCAUAAAAGAGAUUAGUAUCGUAGCUAACGCGUUAAGUUCUCCGCCUGGGGAGUACGGCCGCAAGGUUAAAACUCAAAGGAAUUGACGGGGGCCCGCACAAGCGGUGGAGCAUGUGGUUUAAUUCGAUGCAACGCGAAGAACCUUACCAUCCCUUGACAUCCAGAGAAUCUGUUAGAAAUAGUAGAGUGCCUUCGGGAACUCUGAUACAGGUGCUGCAUGGCUGUCGUCAGCUCGUGUCGUGAGAUGUUGGGUUAAGUCCCGCAACGAGCGCGACCCUUAUCUUUAGUUGCCAGCACGUAAUGGUGGGGACUCUAAAGAGACUGCCGGGACAAGCCGGGGGAAGUGGGGACGACGUCAAGUCAUCAUGGCCCUUACGGCUAGGGCAACACACGUGCUACAAUGGCCA
rnacentral:rRNA from 1 species